UGUGUGUGUGAGUAAGCGUAGAGUGUGUGUGUGUGUGUGUGUGUGUGUGUGUGAUGUGAGUGUGUGUGUGAGUAAGCGUAGACGUAGUGUGUGUGUGUGUUGACACAGUUGUGUCGGCGUUGAUUUUAGCCCGGUGAGUGGUUGUGUGGGACGUGUUUUGGCAGAGCUGUGGGAAACGUGAGCUUCUGUCCCGGUGAAGCAGAAGGGCCACCAGCGCUCCAGCUGACCCCACAGCUGCCCACAACAACACAUGAUACCAGGGGACCCAGGGGCCAAACACCCUGUGAAGCAGCCUGAACUCUGCCCUCUGCUGGGGACUCUGUGUGUGUGUGUGUGUGCAAUAAAUACAGAAAAGAUUUAGUGUAGAGUUUAGGGUUAGCGAGUAGUAGCUAGUUUUAUUCAUUAAUUAACUUCAUUCAUAGAGCAUUUAACAACUGCACCUGCAGACCAAAGUGCUGGAUGCAUAAGGCUGUGCAUAAAAAACAUAAAAACAACCUAUUAAUACAUUGAAUAACAGCCCAACCUCUCAAAGGAUAAAACUUAAGAGAAGCCAAAGUAGGAGAUAUAUGAUACAUGAUAUAUGAUAUGAUAGAUGAUACUCUUCUUAGCACCCACCAGAAGCCGAGUCUCCGAAUUCUGCAUUAAUUGCCAAAGUGAUAUAUAGUGGUCUGACAGGACCCCAAAUACAAAACAUUGCAAUAGUCAAAGCGAGACAGAACAAAUGAAUUAAUAACCUUCUCUAAAUAAUUUCUCGACAGUAUAGGUUUUAAUUGAGCAAUAGAACUAAUCUGCAAAAAUCACCUCUUAGCCAUGGAAACACAACACCUGGAUAUUUUUACUUGCUCAUGGCAAUAGUCUGACCAUGUGUCUAAAUAUGUGGCAAUAUCUAAGCUUCCUUAAAUGCAAAAAUUGGAUUCCAGAGGCAACAUAUACAAAGAAAAUAAGAUGGGGCCAAUAACAGAGCCCUGAGGAACCCCACAAGUCGCAGAUAGAGCUGUAAUUCAUAAUUUACAUUGUUGUUAAAUAUUAUAUAUAUUUUUGAAGUACCCACAAAGUAUUUCAGAAGGUUAAUAAUAAGUUAAUAUUAUAAAAUUCAUAUUUAGUUAACUUAAAGAAAAUAUUGUCUGGCGUUGGGUAUCUGCUGGCCAAAAAGCUUGAGAAUCCUUAAAAUAUUUGGGUAUUUCUUUUUACAUAAAUAUAUUUAUAUAUUGUGUAUAUUUUACAGUAUCUCCUCUGUCAAAGCUCCCUAAAUGACUAAAUAAAGAGCAUGAAGUUAU